GACGAACGCUGGCGGCGUGCUUAACACAUGCAAGUCGAGCGGUAAGGCCCUUUCGGGGGUACACGAGCGGCGAACGGGUGAGUAACACGUGGGUGACCUGCCCUCAGCUCUGGGAUAAGCCUGGGAAACCGGGUCUAAUACUGGAUAUGACUCCAUGACGCAUGUUGUGGGGUGGAAAGCCUUGUGCGGCUGAGGAUGGGCCCGCGGCCUAUCAGCUUGUUGGUGGGGUGAGGCCUACCAAGGCGACGACGGGUAGCCGGCCUGAGAGGGCGACCGGCCACACUGGGACUGAGACACGGCCCAGACUCCUACGGGAGGCAGCAGUGGGGAAUCUUGCGCAAUGGGCGAAAGCCUGACGC
rnacentral:rRNA from 1 species